AUUUGUCUUAUUGGAUGAUAAAUAAAGUACUGUUUGGCCAAUGAGGCAGCAAGUUAGGCAGGACUAGGAGUCAAGGAGGAUUCUGGGAAAUGUAGUAAAGAAGUGGUGAUCCAGGCAGGAAGUCACAUGGAGGGAGACUCAUAUAUAAACAAGGGCAGGAAGGAAGUGGGCCCCUUCUCCCUUCCUCCAGAGUCACCAUGUGAUCCCGGCAUGAGGAUGCCAAUGGAAGGCAGCCUAAAUAAGAUAAGUCUUAUAAAAUAUACAGAUUUAUGAUAAUUAAGACUGAGCUAACAGAUGAGAAAUCCUAGUCAUUGGCCAAGCAGCAUUUGUACCUAAUAUAAGUCUCUGUGUAUUAUCUGGGGCCCUAACUCGGCAGGCAGAAAUCAGGUGGCUGGCGGAAACCACCCACGUGGCGGUAGGGCUCGGGUGGCUUUUGGUGGAAAGACUUAUCGUAACACCAAUUGUUUGUGAUUUUUGUGCUUAUAAACCCUGCUUCUGCCCUGGCUUGGGCUUUCAGGAGUAAGGAGGCUCCAAAGUCCUUGUCCUGCAGCCCCGAUCCAUCGUGACCUGUUUAUGUGAACCAAUAAGUGUCUCUCUCCUUGCCCAUGGCGCAUAACAGGCUAGGUGUAGCAAUGCUUUAAAAUGUAAGUACACCAAGGCAAACAGGAAGUUAGUAUGGAUGCAGAGAGGUAGGUAAACUGGAAUAUGGUAUGAAACUAACUGAAGUACUCGUAGGUAGUGAAGAGUGUUGGUUGAUGUGCUUCUCUGUUAACAAAAUGCAUCCUGACCACCUCUCGGUGCUUCAGAACAAUGCCUGAUGUGUUCAUCGUUAUUACGGGCACACCACUAAUUGCUCACCACCUCUUAUCCAUGCGUCUCCCUCAAUGCACCACUUCUCUGGCUAGACCAUCAUACAGCCUACCUCCAGUGUUCUCCAACUCUUAAGACUCUGAACAUAAUUGCUUCACAACAAUUUUUGUUACAUCAUUUGCUGUGUUCAGCUUGUUUUUCUAAAAAUGCACGGCAUCAAAUAUUAUCAGAGUUCCUAGUAAUUAUUGGCGUCCAUGUGUAAACCAAGGGCCUGGAAGAGUGAGUAGAGCCAUGGCCACCAAAACAGAGUGUUAGAAACCGUUCCUACCUGAACCAGGAGGGAUACUCUCCCUCAGUAAGAUGGAAGCGGUGACUUGUCACAAUUGUAACAUUUAAUUCUCUAAAAAAAAUUCAGUAAAUUAUCACUCUUUCCAUCUACCCAUUAGUAAAUGAAAACUCCUACAGUUAAGGCAUUCUACAAAUGCUCACAUCUGAUAUGAAAUGGGGUGGAAGCCAGAUGCCAGGCCUACUUGAGGAUAAACCCAUGUCACUUCCCACCAGGUUACACAAUAUUGAUUGCUUUAGAUUUAUCUUAUUAGUCUUUAAAACCUGCACAUGCCUGUGUGUUUCUGUGUGGGUAUGAGCACACAUGUGCCGGUGCUCAGAGAUGGAGGCCUCGAAUUUCCCAGAGCUGCAGGUCCAGGCAGUUGUUAUUUGUCCCAUAUAUGCAGUGACAACCGAACUCCUGACCUCUGGAAAAAGCAGUGCAUUCUCUUAACCACUGAGCUAUCUCUCCAGCCCCAUUGUAUCAAUUUUUCAUGUGUCAAAGCAUGGAAAACAAAAAGUAGCCGAAAACAAAAAGAAACCGGAGGUAUAGAAGGAUCACUGGUUUUUACUGUAUGUUAACACACAUAAAAAUUAUGUCUCGGAGUUCUGGUGUCUUAUUUCAUGCAGGGCAUGGUAGGUUUUCCUGCACAUCCUUGAUGGGGCUUGGCACUGCCUGAACUUAGGCUUAUUAGCUCUGCUGAUGAGGUCAUCAGGUGCUAAGGGAUCCCAACUCUGGCACUGUGAUUUCAGAGACUCCAAGUAGGUUGUAAAAAUGUGAGCCAAGAUCACAAGAAUCUUGUUAACAAGGAGAUGUUGACACAUGAAACAUCAGCAAAGGAGACAAGAUAGCAAGUAAAUGAACACACUGCUUGGUGACAAUGCUCAGAAGGGAGAGCAGGAAGAAAGGCAGGUCCUUGGUUCUCACAAUCCACCACUCACCACUUGCUGACUCUUUUGUUGUCCAACUGGUUAAAUCCACACUCAAGAUGAAGGUCCUCAUUCUACAACAAGUCCUUAUCACUCAGCUACAUGCAAGUAGUCGUCACUUCCCAGGAGACUGGCUCAGUUUCUUGUUGUAUCUGCUGGUGAGAAACCCCAAUGCAGGGAUUAGCAGACAAAGCGAGACACAAGUGAUAUGUUCAAGACUUGUCAAGAGCAUAUAAUUGACAGGAAAAGUGGCUCCUGGGAUGAGAGCCAGCCAGAUCCUCUGGGAGCAGUGCCAUUGGCCAGGCUGGCACACAGGAACACAUGCUCCAGUCUCUCUGGACUUGACAGCUGCUUCAGCCUUUGACAUGACCUUUUGGGAUCCUUACUAACCUGCUCCAGGCAGUUGUCUUCCAUGAAUUCUUAUGAUACGGAUUUCCACACAAGGCUCCUUAUCUUUCCAUGUAAAACAAGCAUUUUUUUACUAAAUAUUUACAAUAGCAGAGAUGAAUUAUUUACUCAGUUUACAGUUUCAUCUCUGAUUUUUCUGUAUGUUUAUCUGAAUGUUGGGUGUUUCCAGUUAAUAUAUCAAAGCCACAAAAUGGAGAAACUGGGUAAUUUGCACUGAGAUCUCUGCUGUCAAAAUGGGCCAUGAAAAUACUGUUUAGAUUUCAGACUGUUUAUGUCUGGGCUGAGGGGGAGAGGUGGGCAUACAGGAGCCUCAGGAAAACAGCUUGGGUUGUGGGCGGUGUGUGCACCUAUGUGAAAGGGAACUCCAGAGAUAGUUACGGUGGUUUAAAUGAGGAUGUCCCAUGUAGACUCUUUUAUUUGAACACUUGGUCCCGCGUUGGUGGAACUCUUUGGGAAGGAUUAGGAGGUGAGGUCUUGUUGGAGGAGACGAGUCACUGGAAGUGGGCUUAGAGGUUUCAAAAGCCCAUGCCAUUCCCAAUUAUCUUUCUCAGUCUUGUGACUGAUACUCAAUACGUAAGCUCUUAGUUACCGCUCCAGUACCAUGCUUCCAUGCUCCUUACCAUGGUAGUCCUGGACUCUAACCCUCUGCAACUGUGAGCCCCAAUAAACAUUUUCUUUUAUUAGUUGCCUUAGUCACGGUAACUCUUCCCAGCAAUAGAAAAGUAAUAGAGCAUUUGGGCGGUAAGUGGAGCAUGUAAGAAGCUGCUUGUAAUAUCACAUGAUGGCAGUUUCAUAUGGCUCAACUAAAUAACACAGAGGGAAAAACUGAGGAAGGUGCCAGAGUCAGCAGACACAAUACACUAUCUGGAUGGAUGGUCCUUCCCAUCCAGUAACUCUAGAACCAGUCAAGGGAUUUGACACAACAGUGGUAAAAAGCAGCUCAGAAAUAUUUAGAGGAUUUAAGAAAUACCGGGAGAACAAAUAUAUAAAUGAGUCGCAGGAGAUUCAUUUGCUACUAAAACUAAAAUCUGAAGUCUUGUGUCACCCGUGAUCCAAUGGCCUAGGACUUCGGGGAUGGAAGUAAAAUCAAGAAAGAGAAUAGCGCUGACAAUGCAGAUGAAGUGUCUUUGAGACCAAAAAUGCCCGUGAGGGUGUGCAACUGUGGCCAUACUGUUUAUUUGAACUAUAUAUUGAGAGUCCUUCACUCCAGUAGCAGGUACGACUGUGUGUGCUGGGUUCGGGAGACAGAACAGUGCAGAUAGAAGGGCUAGUAAAAGGUGACAAUAUAAAUCCGGGUCAGUGGCACUGGCAGACAUCUCCCUGAACUUUUCACACCCUGGUGAUCAGAGAGGAGGGUAGAGAGAAGGCCUUGGAAUGUUUUUAUAUCCUAGGAUCUGGUGCCCCACCUGACCCGAUUGACAGAUAUUGAUCAAAACUGCCAGUUAGAUGCUAACUCCUCGUUCCUGAUAAUUUAACUGGAGAGGACUUCAAACUGUGAGAACAAAGAGUGCAGACAGACAGCCCCAGACUGCUCAAAAUAUCUUCCCCAGGGUCCCUGCGUAGGUAGCAGGCUGCCCUUUCCAAGAAUGUGUUUAUCAAAAAGGCAACUGGAAACUUUGCUUUCCUGAGAACUCUGUUAACUCGCAACUUGAGAUAGCUGUGCAUUGCUUCUCUUUGGAGAUGGGAGGCUAACUAUUUAUAAUACCGGCUGGGACCAUCACCUCUCCUCUGAGGCCUAAAAGUUAAGACAUAUCCAUUUGCCCCUCCAUGUCAUGAGUGGCCUUGGAUAACUCCAAAUACUUCCUUGUAGGUGCAGGCUUCUUAUCCAGAAGAAGACACAGUCUGGGAACUCCUGGAAGCAACUGCUUGGAGUUCAUAUAUAUUCCUAAUGCUUUUAAGUGUCGUCCACCACCAGGAGGAAUUUGCUUGACUUUUACUGCAAAAGCAAGCAAGACACAAGAGGACAGCAAGCAUGAGUCCUCCGUCAUGGAAUUAUCUUCCAACUAAGGCUUCAAUUGGGUCCUUCAGUUUUCUAGUACAGGGGGGAGAAUGGAUCAUACAUCUAUCCAAGUAGGAAGGUCCAGCUCUGUUCUAACCCAGUGGAUAUCCUGCCACUUCAGAUUUAAAUUCUCAGCUGGGCUCAGUGUGCUAUUAUCAAGCCUGAGUAUACGAAUUAGCAACAGGAAGAAAACAAUCUGGAAAUUGAACCCAUCCAAAUCAGCACAGGCUCACCCUGCCCUUCUGGUGCAGCCCAAAGUAAGUUCACAUGCUGGUCGGGUUCCCAUAUGUGCACUUCCUUCUUUGAGAAAAAUCCUAAACCCUCCAGAAGUCUCUCAUCUCUGCCCACAGGCACUGUUGCAGAACCAUCCCCCACCCCCCCACACACACACCCUGCUGCCACAGCCAUCCUGCCUCAGGCCCUGGAUCUGAAGGGGCCUCACACACAGCUCAUCACCUCUGAAGCACCGUGAGCAAAGUAGCCAGGCGAGAACUCCCAGCAGCUAGCUGCGGGUGAGGAGACCAAGAGUGUGGAGUUGUGAAAGUGGGGCCUCAGAUAACAGGCAGGUCAGAGCCAGUGUCUUUCUGAGGAGAGGUCAGCCUAACUCUCAUUAAAACUGCAUCUUAAAAUAGGAAGGGCAUGUGGUGGUAGAGGAGGCUCCGUGAAGAGCUGGCAUUGCCCCAGUGUGCCCUGAAGUUCCAAAGUAUAAAGUAUGAAAACUCAACUUAUCCAAAUGAGGGUUCACACUGAAAACCUCAGCUCACCUCUGACUCGGAAUUAGUUACUUUUCUAAUGCUGUGAUAAAAUACCAUUAGCGUGAUGAUCUGUAGACAAAAGAGUGUAUUUGAGUUUAUGGUUCCAGUGGGAUUAGAGUGCAUGAUGGUGGAGCAGAGGCCUGGCAGCUGCAGCUGGAAACUGAGCGGUCACAUCUUCAACCAAAGCAGGAAGUAGAGUUGUGAACUAGAAAUGGUACAAGUCCUUCAGCUCUCAAAGCCCACCUCCGGCAAUAUCUUCUAGAUGGAUGGGGAAGGGGAGGGGGUCAUUUGAUUCAAACUAUCACACACCAUUGUCUCAUCUGAGAUGAUACUUUGUACUCCAGUCUAGGGACUGAGUAUCAUUGCAAGUUGUGGGUUUUGGAGUCAACCAAACAUGACCUUGAAGUCCAACCCUGUGGCUUCCAACAUAGACCUGACCAGUUUAUUUGAUUUCCCCAAGCCUGUUUCUAUACAUGCAUGUGGUGGUUUGAAUAAGAAUGGCUCCCGUAGACUCAGCAGUGGCACAUGAGGAGGUGUGGCCUUGCUGGAGUAGGUGUGGCAUUGUUGGAGGAAGUGUGUCACUGAGGUCUUACCUGCUCAAGCUACACUCAGGAUGACACACAAUCUCCUGCUGCCUGCACAUCAAGAUGAAGAAUUCUCAGCUCUGCCCUCAUGUCGCCAUCUCCUACCAUGAUGACAAUGGACCAAACCUCUGAAACUGUAAGCCAGCCCCAGUCAAAUGUUUUCCUUUGUAAGAGUUACCAUGGUCCUGGUGUCUUUUUACAGCUAAUAAAACCCUGACUAAGCCAGUGCCAAGCAAGGAAAAUACAUUAGCAAAUUGAAGCAAGGCUGGAAAGAUGGUUCCGUUGGUAAAUGUGCCUGCCACCAACUUUGACAACCAGAGUGCAAUUCUUAGAAACCAGAAGGUGGAGAGAAUCAACUCCUCCAAGUUGCCCUUAGCCUCUUGUGCACUAUGCAGGCUCAGUAGAACACGUUCACACUUGAGUUUUCGUGUACACAUACACAAAAUGUUAACUUUUGUAACUUGAAGAAUCGGCCAGGUGUUGGUGGCACAUGACUUUAAUCCCAGCACUCACUCUGUGAGUUCAAGGCCAGCCUGGUCUACAAAUCGAGUUCUAGGAUAAGCUUCAAAGCUACAGAGAAACCCUGUCUCAAAAAACAAAACAACAAAAGAAAAGAUUGAACAUAAUCUAUGAAGAGAACUUAUGCCCAGGGGUACUGGGGUACAGUAAGACUCCAUGAGGCCAUCCUAUCUGUCACAGGAACAAGCUUCCUGGUCCAGGUCAGCCAUCUUCCUCUCUCAUCUCCAGAGCUGACUUCUAAGAUUUCUUCAUCCCCCCCCCCCAACUUCUUUUACACAACAGCAAACAUAUCUUCUUCUAAGUCAGCCUUUAGAAGUCAGGAUUAAAAUGUCAUCUAAGUGGCUGAUUGCAUAAUUGAGAGGUAGAAAGUACUUACCUAGCAUGCUUGAGGCCUGGGUUUGAUUCCUAGCAUUGAAAUAUAUAUAUAUAUACAUAUAUAUAUAUAUAUAUAUAUAUAUAUAUAUAUAUAUAUAUAUGUAUAUAUAUAUAAUUUUUUUCAACCAGGAAUAUUUUUAUUCAUUCACCCAUUCUUCAUUCUGGUUUUGAGAGUUUCCCUCUGUGGUGUAGGUUGAUCUCUCUAUGUGGUUCAGGCUGCCUGGAAACUUGAAGCAAUCCUCCUGCCUUGAUCUUCCAAAUGCUACACUGGUCAGUGUGACGCCUGGGCUCAGCCCAGGAAUAUUCAUUUUUAAGAAUAUUAUGAAGUCUGACCCUAAAAAUACAUUCUUAAAAACUUUAGGAAAUGGAAGUUUUAGCUCUUAAAAUACUUCUCAGAUACAGUAAAGGAACUCCAUGUUCAAUUAAACUUGAGUUAAAAUAACAAAAAUGAAAACUGAUUUUCUUUUUGGAGUCAACUUGGAUUGACAUAAAAUGAGUAAGAGUUGCUGGGACUAUGAGGAAAAGGAGGUAUUUAUACAAAGACCUCUGAAGCCUUGGAGCUUACAAAUUAAUCAAAGAUGAAGGAUUUAAUUUAAAAAAAAAAAAAAGCCUGUGACAUAAAGGCAGCAAAUGAAGUUAAUAGGGAAAGUAAAUUGCAAGAAACAGAAAAUACAGAAAUAGAAAGGUGUUUGAAAAAUAACUCAUUGUUAUUCCGAGGAGAGAUUUUUGUACACUGAGCAACCAAAGAAUCCAUUCUUUAAGGAAGCAUUCAAUACCAAGCUGGAGCCCUAGAAAAAUAAAACUAAUAGUAGAGAUGAACAUUUCCAUUAGACAUUUGAAAAUUUAAAAAUGAGAAAAAAAUCCAGAUUUUAAAAAACAGAAUCAUGUUAGCUGAGGAGUUCAUCAAAAUGGAUGCACCAGUGUGACUUAUCCACCACCAUCUUAGAUAGUGACAUCAUGAAAUUGGUAACAACCAUGCGAUUUCAUCACCAUCUUGGCCAAUGCAAUCAUAGAGCAUGAGUCAAAAUGGUGGCACCCAUAAAACUACUCAGUCCAACUGAACCCUAGGAGGAUCACUGUACCCCUUUUUAUAUUAGAUUAAGGAAGUAACACUAGACCUCAUGGUGUUUUGUUGAUGUUUGUUUAGGUUUUUUGUUUUGAUUUGAUUCCGAUGUGUUCUUUUACAUGACAUAUUUAUUGGUUUCUAGAGGAAACUUUUAAGUUUUUCUAACCAUGUGCCUCCAACACUAGCCAGGUAUCCAAGAGAACUGAUAGUUUGAAAUUGCUUGCCUCGGAAAGCUCAUUUGAGUUUGCAGGAGCCCAGACCUCAGUCUUGGGAAAUCACAGAUCCCAAGGGAACCAGAAGAAUCAGCUGCCAGGUGUUAGACUAGCUGCUGCCAGGGGCAGCUAACAACAGCUGGAGGCAAAGAGCCUGUUUGGGCUGGAAGCUGGAGAUGCAGCCUGUGCUGGGUCUCAAUGCCUUCUGCCUCACAUCUCCAAGCCUGUUUUUCUCUAGCUGAGAUACUUGGGACUUCUUUGCUACAUACAUGUCUACCCUUGUUUCUGCCCCACGGCACCCUGGGAACCCAUACUUUUGUUUUCACUCUCUAGUUGCUGUGGCAUAUACUAUCUACAGAAAAAGAACAUUUGGAUAUCAUCUCUUUGCACGUUAUUUCUGAUGUUCUGUGUCCUAUAAUCUCUGCACUGUGGGUACUUAAUUCAGAUUGUGUGCAGUAAAUUACUCUAUGGCUUUUCUAGCCCUAUCAGUUGAACUGAUAGAAAGCUAUCAUUAAAGGGAGGAGUUCACCCUAAAUGCUACUGUGCUUGCCUCCUAUGUAGAUAGGGAUUGACAGACUAUAAAUUUUGAGGAAAUGCUCAAAAGGAGUUUUUAAAGGAAACACUGGAAAUUUGACUCCCUAUUGUAUACAAGUGUUAAAAGUUGACUGGCUUCUUUAACAUGUAAGGUAUAUAUAUUCAUUCCAGGAGUUUUGUUGGGUGAUAGAUCCAACACAAGCAGGUUAAUGAUCAGCUAGACAACAUACAGAACAUUCAUUAAAUGUUCAAGGCAUUAAAGAGUCCCAUGGGUGGGGACAAAGAACCCUAACAGACUCUGACUUCUCUAUGAUUGCUAAUGAAGAAGAGGAUACAGGAAGCCAGGUGCACACUGGUGAAGUGAUUAACCCAGUAAGUACCCAAGAAGAGGAAUAAAAGCUAGUUUGCCAGCGAACUCUGUAAAGAAAGAAACAAAAAUGAUUCGAAUAUAUCUUCUUUUGCCUUAAAGAUGGAUAGUGUCACUAAAGACUCUCCUAGGCUUUUGUAUCCUUACCCUUCGGGAUCUUGGUCAUACACAAGCUUUAAGAAAGAAAUGUCCGGUAUUUUUCAACAUAUAGACCUGGCCUAGAUAGAAACUAGAGAACACAAGAUAGUUUCUAUAGAAAUCAAUAAUCAGAGUAUUAUAGUGUCCUACAACUUAACCUCUGUACAGAAGGAGGGUAGUUAUUGAACUUUUCAGGUUGUCUACUUCCAUCUGAAGAUGCACCCCAACGGAUUGUGAGUAUGGGCUUCCUUCCGUGCCAUGGAUCACCCCAAGUAGAGCCAUGGAGGGUCUCAGGUUAGACACUGUGAAAGGCUGAGACUGACAUCAGUUUGAUCUUCCUCAGUUUAUUGGUGUUGAGUGCUACUCACUCAUGACCUUUGAAAGUUUAAAAGUAAUUAGAAGGUGACCCUUCAAACCCAAGUGGUUUGACUCAUGUCAACCUCUGUUCACAAAGCAGGUCUCAACUAUAUCGAGGUUCUAAGGAAGACAGAGCCCCACCCAGUGAACUCUAACCAGUGUCCAUUCUACAGAGGGUCAGCAUAGAGAAAAAUGUCUUCAAUGCAUCAAGCUAAGCCAUGGUCAAGCAAGGCCUUUGACUUGUGCUCACACAGAUGGAACAACUGGUAAAAGGAAGGCUGGGGGAGCCAGAGGCUCCUGGCAAGCCCAAGUGACCCUGAGAACCAAAUACUCUGCUGGCCUUGACAAUAAAUAAGAAAAGAAUUUUGGCCACCUAUGUGGUCUUAAAAACCAGCAAGAAAGUAUAACCAAAAACUAAAAUGAUGGGUAUGCUGCUUUUUGUCUGUCUCUCUGUCUGUUUUGAACAGUCCAAGGAAUCACACUGCUGAGUCAUUAAACUUAAAACUAUGUGGAUUGGGGCUGGAGAGAUGGCUCAGAGAUUAGGAGCACUGGCUGCUCUUCCGAGGGUCCUGAGUUCAGUUCCCAGCAACCACAUGGUGGCUCACAACCAUCUGGAAUGGGAUCUUAUGUCCUCUUCUGACAUGCAAUGUACAUAUAGAUAAAAUAUCACAUACAUAAAAUAAAUAAAACUUUAAAAAAUAUUUUUAAAAACUAUAUGGAUUGAUAUUUAGAAUAUUUAUCACUAAUGAUUUUCUUCUCUAUAAGAAAAUUACUGCCCAGGUAUAAGACCUCAGAUCUUGGCUCAAUUCAGCACUGCAGUUCUUACAUGCAGUCAAAAGAGACAGGGCCACAAUUAUUUUAACCUUGUAAGACCCCCGGAAGCUCAGGCCUCCAGGAUCUCAGCCCAGGUCCAUGGUCACCCCAAUCACAAGGCAGAGGCGAAAGCUUGAUGCAAACAGCAUGAGGCUUUAUUGUUCUUUAACGAGCUAACCACAUGUUAGCUCAGGCCUUUCAUCCACCCACCAUGGCGGAUGGCUAGGAAAGACAGCUCCAAGCGUCUGCAUAGAGAUCUUAUAGGGCAGCGUAAGGGGAGUAUCUAGGGGUAUGCACAGGCUCAGGAUUGGUGUGCCUCCAGGCUUGGAGGGUUUGCCCUGUGUUGAUUGGCCAACUGGUUGUUAUGGCCCAUAGGCCCUCCCAGGGUGGUUGCUAUGCUCUGCACGUCAUUGCUGUGCGCUUGUCCGUAAAGCACACCCAGAGCCAUAAAGCAUAGCACCACCAGCUAAUUUCUGAUUGGUUCCUUGCCAUGAGGCAGGCAUCUGACCUCCUAGUGACUAAGGCAAGGUCAGAAAAGCAUGUGUUUGGCUGUUAUGGCUGCCGAAAUGGGGAGCUGGUCCCUUCAACCUAAAACUCAAGUGAUGGUUGUUAGGCCUCAAACCCAGAACAAAUGACUAACUAAGGUGCUUAUUAUCCCAGUCAAAGAUUUCCCUCCCUCCCUCCAUCUCACAGCUGGGGUCGUUUAGAUGGGCCUUCUGGAAGGGUACUCCCAAUCUGCCUCACUUAACACCCCAAACUCAGCUGGGGAAAGCCAGGUCAUUCAUCACCCCAAUCCCACAAUGGCACUGAGGGGUACAUCUUCAGUCAGAAGCUGGGAACGGGGACAAAGGUGAUGAUAAUAGGAGGUAGAAAUUGGCUAGGCAGUUUAGAAUAAGCAGAUCCCAAAGGAAAAUAACUAACUAGUUUCCCUCUUGACUAAAAGCUAAAAAUGUCCUCAGGACUUGGGGCAGCAGCAUCCUUGCCAGAGGCUGUAUAUGCCUAAGGUGGUUUGGGGAGCUCUGAUUUCUGGUCUUGUUUCUGAAGGAUUGCACAAUUACCUUUAUGGGAGGCCAGUGGUUAGAGUAGCAGUGAAGGCCGGUUAGAGAAAACCUCUGAUCAGGGGAGAAGGCCUGGGUGGAGACCCAACAUUCCAACAGGGCCAGGUCACUUUCCCAGCCAAGGGACCACCCCUAGGACCGUGGGCUCAUCUUAUGCUAAAGAAAUAGUUGAAAUAAUUAAUGCCUUGUCCUUGAUAAUUAGCUCAGGCUUAUCAAGUCAGCUAUUGUUAAACAACCCUCCCUGCCCCACUCCCAACACACACACACACACACACACACACACACACACACACACACACACACACACAGAGCAAUUCCUUAUUCCAAGACAUGACAAAGAGAGCCAAACAUCUUAAUGAGUUUGAAGAAAAGAAUGUUUAAAAAUCAGAGGAAGGAUUUGUAAGAAACAUUCACCAUGAGUCUUCUUCGGAAUACAAUAAAACAAGGACUUCAAAGGUUUUCUGUCUACCCAACCUCGUUAAGCCUUUAUGCAAAUGUCUUAAUCCCUGAACCAGCAAAACCCUUGUUUACACAAAGGCUCCUUGAAUUCAGGGAAGGUGGUGAGCUGACUGCUUUUCUUUUUCCUUCAUUUCCUGUGUGCUGAUUGCUAUCAACUAGUCCAUCUGUGAGGCCAGACUCCAGGGGCCACCUGUGUUAGAAUGAAAAGCAAGCUGGCUUCCUGUCUCGGUGUACUUCCUCUUUGGAACACACUGUCUUGAUCGAGUGUUAAGUUUUGCCUUGUCAAGACACUUCAAAAUACAUUUAAAAAUAAAUGAAUUUUAUUUCAACAGAGAAAAUGGGGGAUGGGGUGAAGCCGGAGUGGGAAAAUUAGUGGAUCCAUUUGAAAUAGAAGUUCCAUGAAGAGCAAAGAGACCGUGAAGGAACCUAUUCAAAAGAUACAGAAAACAAAAUACUGGAAUGGCUAAGGGCCAGCUUGACAGCAACAGCUCACAUCCCCCCUUCACAGGAGGACGGAGAGAAUGGGACAGACUUUGUCAUUGUCCACAGUGAGUCUCAAACUUCUGGAACAAUACCAGUUACUUCUGAGACCAAAAAAACUUUAUAGAUAUAUAAAAUUAAAUAGAAAUAUUUAAAGAGGCCAUAGAGGCAUAGCAUGGACAACACACAAAAUUUGAAGGAAAGCAAAAGCAACAAAAGAAAGUUGAUUAAGAUUCCUCAGGUCUUGAAAUCUGGAUCUGGAUCCAAAGGACAAAAAGAAUUACAGAGAUGAGAGCAAGAAAUACAACACAAAGCCAGAAGACACCAUUCAUCCAAGUUUAUGGAAAUGGCACCUUGAGAGUACAGAACUUUACAGCAGGACAUGGUGGCCCACAUGGGAAGCCAGUGCCAGCAGAUGGGGGUUUCUUUUACCAUAGAAAUGAGGAGAAUGGCAAUGUAUUAAGAUCCCAGAGAAACAGUUAGUAAUAACAAAUGCUCUCCAGGUAGUGUCCGAAUCUGCUGAGCAGCUCUGUCUUUAUCUACUGUCUCUAUCUCAUGGUUCAUUGUUCAUCUGGCUUCACUCUAAAUACACAUAGCUUUUCCAAAGGACUGAUGUGUGAUCUAAUGGCCUGUGGUCUCCAAAAGUGACAGUCUGGGAGGUGGCCACCUUUCAUUGUCCCCUGGCCCAGCAAUGUCUAGUGGUUCUACUCUGAGGAAAGUAAAAGGACAUUAAGGAGGUAGAUAGCAGAAGAUGAAAGGGGCAUUGAAGAAAGAGGCGUGGACAGCCUAGCAGAGGUGUGUCGAGCCUACACUGGGUGUGUGUGGACCUCGAAUACCUGUUUAUUUAUUUUAUGACCCCUCUUGGCUGCCUGUGUCAUAGAGCUUUGAGGACAUCUGUGCUCAGGAAUCUGUUUUGAAAGACUUCAUUCCAGGACAGAACUGCUGGAGAGAGGAUCACCAAUGAUCUUCACAAUUGCCUCACAUGAAGUUCACAGAUCAAGAGGAAACGGUGACAAGGUUGAGGAAGGGUCAUAGGUAGCAGGCACAGUGGUCCUAUGUGACACUUUGUACCUGUGUGAGAUGGGAGCCCAUAAGACAACAAUCUUCCCAAGCUCCUGAUGUUUGGAUUUUCCGUUAACUUUUAAGCCUCUCUAUCUAAGGAGCUCCCUUUAGGGAUUAAAAUUUUAUAUUUACAAGAAAAAAAAUGGAGGAGGAGAAAUCCUUGCUUGCAACUGCCUAGCAGGGAUAGAAGGGGUCGGAACUGAUGACACUUGAAGAUAUGGGAGGCAAGGAGGCGAUUUGGUUAGUGUGCCUACGAGGCCAUGUAUUAUUUCCUUCAGAUAGUCUUCCCCUCAUUCACAGCUGCUAGUGUCUCAUGUCAUAGGCACUUUUAAGGCCAAAACUGAGUGUUCUUGGUUACCCGGAUGUAGGAACUGGAAGCACUUACCAACACCCAUGAGGACAGAUAUGGAACUAAUGAGUUCAGUGCUAGCAAUGCCAUUCGGGUGAUACGACUUCCACACACAGCAUCAAGGGCCUAGAAGAACCCAUGAAUGACAUGGAGAGGAAUCGAUGGGCCAGGUCCUCCAAGAACCAGUCAGGAGGUGGAAUUCUCUCUUGAGACCUCUUCAUGCACGAUCAGACCUUGGAAAAAAGUGACCUCUUGUCAGGCCACAGCUCCAGCAAAUACCUGACCCCAAAAAGGCUUUGCUGCCUCAUACUCUCCACAAAACCAAGUGGCUCCAACUGGACACUUGGAAAGAAAACAGACUUGGAUAAUUGUGGUUAGACAAACAAUUUCAAGAUCAUUUGGCCUGUGUGUUUAGAAGGCUCAGGGGGCCUGAGGAAUGCGGUGAAUUUACAGGAAGAGGGACAAGAACACACAUUCCUCCAGAACGCCCAAUCACCAAGCUCUUGUUUAUUUUUUGGAACCAGUGAUGUCUGGAGAGAGGUCAUCCUUUCUGAGGUUGGAGAGUGAAGACAUGUUCUGAGGUUAUAGCCAGACAAGACAAAUGAGGGAUAGAAGGACAUCUAAUGUGGUUUCUAACAAAAGCUAGCUCCAGUUCAGAGGUGGGAACUGAGAACUGUCGGAGUCUACUGGAGGGCCUUGCAGGGACUCAACCCUGAGGGAGUGUAGACGGAUGCACACCUGAUGCUGGCAGUAAAGGAGCUGUGAUUUGGUGUUGCCUAAAGGUCUGCGUGGUGAAGAUGUACCAGAGGCCACCAAGGAAGGAAGGAAAGAACGAACGAAUGAAUGAACAAACGAAGGAGAGAAGGAAAAAAGAGAGAGGGGGAAGGAAGGAAUAAAGGAGAAAUGAAGGGAAAGACAGAGGGAAGAAGGAAGCAGGGAAGGAAGGGAGGAAGGAAGGAGGGAGAAAGGCAAGGAAGGAAGGAGGGAAAUAAGGAAAAAGUUGAUAAAAUGUCAUGUGGAAAACACAGCAUCUAUAACAGAACAGUCAUCCUUAUUCUGUGUCAAAAAAAAAAGAUGAAAACUUAGAAAAACAAAAUUUCAUCAGCAUUAGACUAUAAUCUAUUAGCAAGCAGUAGGCGCAUCUCUCAUUAGCAGUUUCUAAGUCAGCAGUGUACUACCUGAAGGUUUAGGACAAACAAUCCAUGGGCUGGUAGAGUAGGUUGGCUUUACAGUCAUGGAAAGCAGAAACAAAGAAUAAAGUGUUUGGUUGGUAUUUGUUUCUCUUCCUGUUGAGAAAAACAACUUAAAGGAUAAAGGGUCAAUUUUAACUCAUAGUUUAAGGCACAAUCCAUCAUGGUGGAAAAACCAAGGCAGCGGGCGCUUGAGGAAGGUGCUACACUGCAUCCACAAUCAGGGUCUGAGGAGGGUGACUUUAUGCCAGUUCUUAGCUCACUUUCUAAAUGUUAUACAGCCUGACAGCCUCUGUCCAGGGGAUGGCCCUGACCACAAUUAAGUUGGGCUCAUGCCUCAAUUCAUGUAGAUAAAAUAACACCUUUCCCACAGGUAGGCCCAAAGGCCCAUCCUCUAAGAAAAUAGAAGUGUUCAUGCCUCAAGACUAGAAGUCCCUGAUGGCCUGCUCUUGGUAUAGUCAGCUUGGAAUUGUGAUAGUUGACAAGUCAGGGCUAUGAACCAGCAGCUGCCAGCCUGGCAGCAGUGGGGUAGGACCCCAUACUUUGCUGUCCCCAUUCUUGGGUCCCAUUGAAACCUGAUUAAAAUGAAUUCACUCGUGAGUCUGGAACCUUGAAGAUGGGGUCAGAUCUUUCUGACAUGUGCAUCUGUAACAGCCAGGUGUAUGCCUACCGGUGUGGCAUAGACCUAUGAGGGCAUUAGGGACAGUAAGGCAAUCCUGAGCAAGUGGGACAGAGUCACAGAGGCACCAGGAGCAGCAGCGCUCGGCCUCACUGUGGUAGCUGGGCAGCCUGGAGGAGAGUUGGCCCUGGAAAAUCAGGCUGACGUCCAGGUCUGGACCCUCGCAGGUGCUGGCCAAGGCAUCCAGAUAGAGCCUUGAAGUUGAGCCUUUCUUCUUCCAAGUCAGGUUCUUUCUACCCAUCUCUUGCUUCUUUCCUUCUCCCUCCUACAUUUUUUUUUCGAUUUAAGCAAAACAGACCUUGAAAUUCCUUGCUUCUGGAAUGUUACUGAAAACAGCCU
rnacentral:lncRNA from 1 species